rnacentral:rRNA from 1 species
AACUUAAGCAUAUCCAUAAGCGAGGAAAAGAACCACCAGGAUUGCCUCAGUAACGGCGAGUGAAGCGGCAACAGCUCAAAUUUGAAAUCUGGCCCCCCGGGCCCGAGUUGUAAUUUGUAGAGGAUGCUUCGGGCGUGGUCCGGCCUAAGUCCCUUGGCACAGGGCGUCAUAGAGGGUGAGAACCCCGUAUGUGGCCGGGUGCCUAGGCCCGUGUGAAGCUCCCUCGACGAGUCGAGUUGUUUGGGAUUGCAGCUCAAAAUGGGUGGUAAAUUUCAUCUAAAGCUAAAUACCGGCCAGAGACCGAUAGCGCACAAGUAGAGUGAUCGAAAGAUGAAAAGCACUUUGGAAAGAGAGUUAAACAGUACGUGAAAUUGUUGAAAGGGAAGCGCUUGCGACCAGACUUGGGCGCGGCCGAUCAUCCGGCGUUCUCGCCGGUGCACUCGGCCGCGUGCCAGGCCAGCAUCGGUUCCGGCGGCCAGACAAAGGCCGGGCGAACGUGGCUCCCCCCGGGGAGUGUUAUAGCGCCCGGCGCCAUGUGGCCUGCUGGGACCGAGGACCGCGCCUCUGGCUAGGAUGCUGGCGUAAUGGUCGCAAGCGACCCGUCUUGAAACACGGACCAAGGAGUGGAAUAAUCAUGCGAGUGUUUGGGUGCAAAACCCAUGCGCGAAAUGAAAGUGAACGGAGGUGAGAGCCCGCCAGGGCGCAUCAUCGACCGAUCCUGAUGUCUUCGGAUGGAUUUGAGUAAGAGCAUGGCUGUUCCGACCCGAAAGAUGGUGAACUAUGCGUGGAUAGGGUGAAGCCAGAGGAAACUCUGGUGGAGGCUCGCAGCGGUUCUGACGUGCAAAUCGAUCGUCAAAUCUGUGCAUAGGGGCGAAAGACUAAUCGAACCAUCUAGUAGCUGGUUCCUGCCGAAGUUUCCCUCAG